AGAGGUGCUCAUGGUGUUGCCUGUCAGAUUCCAGUGAAUCUGCAAAUUCUGCU
rnacentral:lncRNA from 1 species